ACGUAGGGGGAGAGCGUUGUCCGGAAUUACUGGGCGUAAAGCGAACGCAGGCGGGUUGUUAAGUCGGCUGUGAAAAGUACGGGCUCAACCUGUGUCUUGCGGUCGAUACUGGCAGCCUCGAAUACGAGGGAGGGAAGUGGAAUUUCCGGUGUAGCGGUGAAAUGCGUAGAUAUCGGGAGGAACACCAAUGGCGAAGGCGGCUUCCUGGCUCAUUACUUACGCUCAUGUGCGAAAGCUGGGGUAGCGAACAG
rnacentral:rRNA from 1 species